rnacentral:rRNA from 1 species
AUUGAACGCUGGCGGCAGGCCUAACACAUGCAAGUCGAACGAGUGGCGGACGGGUGAGUAAUGUCUGGGAAACUGCCUGAUGGAGGGGGAUAACUACUGGACACGGUAGCUAAUACCGCAUACCAUCGGAUGUGCCCAGAUGGGAUUAGCUCUUAGGUGGGGUACCGGAUCACCUAGGCGACGAUCCCUAGCUGGUCUGAGAGGAUGACCAGCCACACUGGAACUGAGACACGCUCCAGACUCCUACGGGAGGCAGCAGUGGGGAAUAUUGCACAAUGGGCGCAAUCCUGAUGCAGCCAUGCCGCGGGUGUGAAGAAGGCCUUCGGGUUGUAAAGCACUUUCAGCGGGGAGGCGUUACCCGCAGAAGAAGCACCGGCUAACUCCGUGCCAGCAGCCGCGGUAAUUC